rnacentral:rRNA from 1 species
GUCUACAGCCAUGCCACCCUGAAAAAGCCCGAUGUCUGAUCUUGGAAGCUAAGCAGGGUCGGGCUCGGUUAGUACUUGGAUGGAAGACUACCUAGGAAGACCAGGUUCUGUAGGCA